rnacentral:tRNA from 1 species
AAAAAAUUAGUUAAAAAAUAACAUUAAUUUGUCAUAUUAAAAUUAUUAAAUAUAUAUAUUAAUAUUUUUUU